UUGGAGGGCAAGUCUGGUGCCAGCCAGCCCGCGGUAAUUUCCAGCUCCAAUUAGCGUAUAUUAAAGGUUGUUGCAGUUAAAAAAGCUCGUAGUUGAACUUCGGGGGUUUACCCAUUGGUCAGGCUUAAUUGUCUGUACUGGUGAGAUAAAUCUCUACCUUCUGAGGAACUUUCAUGUCAUUAAUUUGGUGUGAUUGGAAAUCAGGACUGUUACUUUGAAAAAAUUAGAGUGUUUGAAGCAGGCUAACGUCUGAAUACAUUAGCAUGGAAUAAUGAAAUAGGACGGAUUGAUUCUAUUUCGUUGGUUUCUAGGAUCACCGUAAUGAUUAAUAGGGAUAGUUGGGGGCAUUAGUAUUCAAUUGUCAGAGGUGAAAUUCUUGGAUUUAUUGAAGACUAACUACUGCGAAAGCAUUUGCCAAGGAUGUUUUCAUUAAUCAAGAACGAAAGUUAGGGGAUCGAAGACGAUCAGAUACCGUCGUAGUCUUAACCAUAAACUAUGCCGACUAGGGAUCGGACGAAGUUAAUUUUAUAAUGACGCGUUCGGCGCCUUACGGGAAAC
rnacentral:rRNA from 1 species